UUUAGACUGAUCAUUGAGCUUUAUCUCCUGAGCAAUUUUUGAGACUACAGCAUUACGAGCACUACAAACUCUCCACUGCACAAUACCCGACCAUCUAUUCAGAGCACGACCUUGCAUUUUUCUCUGCAGCUGAACGCCUGGUUUUGGACUUUCUCCAAGCAGCAGUUCUUCUGUAUUGUUCCCAUCCACCCCCCCCCAAACCCGCC